rnacentral:rRNA from 1 species
AGUUUGAUCCUGGCUCAGAUUGAACGCUGGCGGCACGCCUAACACAUGCAAGUCGAGCGGAUGNNNAGAGCUUGCUCUCUGAUUCAGCGGCGGACGGGUGAGUAAUGCCUAGGAAUCUGCCUGGUNNNNGGGNACAACGUUUCGAAAGGUACGCUAAUACCGCAUACGUCCUACGGGAGAAAGUGGGGGAUCUUCGGACCUCACGCUAUCAGAUGAGCCUAGGUCGGAUUAGCUAGUUGGUGGGGUAACGGCUCACCAAGGCGACGAUCCGNAACUGCUCUGAGAGGAUGAUCAGUCACACUGGAACUGAGACACGGUCCAGACUCCUACGGGAGGCAGCAGUGGGGNNNNNNNNNNNNNNNNNNNNNNNNUGAUCCAGCCAUGCCGCGUGUGUGAAGAAGGCCCUCGGGUCGUUAAGCACUUUAAGCUGGGAGGAAGGGUUGUAACCUAAUACGUUGCAGCUUUGACGUUACCAGCAGAAUAAGCACCGGCUNACUCUGUGCCAGCAGCCGCGGUAAUACAGAGGGUGCAAGCGUUAAUCGGAAUUACUGGGCGUAAAGCGCGCGUAGGUGGCUUGGUAAGUUGAAUGUGAAAUCCCCGGGCUCAACCUGGGAACUGCAUCCAAAACUGCCUGGCUAGAGUACGGUAGAGGGUGGUGGAAUUUCCUGUGUAGCGGUGAAAUGCGUAGA